CUGGGGUUUAAGGUACCGGUCACCAUUCACAGAUGAAUGCAGUAACAGCCAUGCAUUGACAAAGAUGGGCGUCGCUCUGCUGACGUCUACAUCAAAACAAGAUUCGCGGUUGCAGUGCACAUUAUAAACAAUUCUGUAUACCAGCCUCCCAAGCACAAUUGCCAGUUGAAAUUCCGAAGCGCCGAAGUAAGCCCUGAGGGGCGACGGUAUGCUAAUUCCGCUUCCGCACCAGGGGCGGACCCACACCGAUGCCAACGAUGCGAAUGCAUCGGUUAAAAUUGAGAAAUCAUGCAUGUUGCUUGAAAUAAUUUAUAGACAUAUUUUGCUGUCGUCAAUAGUCUAGCGCUCAGUAGUAGAAUAUCUUUCUAACCUAUCUAUCGAACAGCAAAUCAUUGCUUAAUAUGACUUCAUGCAUGUCAGCAAUACACUAGUUCAGA